UACGGAGGAUGCAAGCGUUAUCCGGAAUGAUUGGGCGUAAAGCGUCCGCAGGUGGCUAUGCAAGUCUGCUGUCAAAGCCUGGGGCUUAACCCUAGAGAGGCAGUGGAAACUGAAUGGCUAGAGUACGGUAGGGGUAGAGGGAAUUCCCGGUGUAGCGGUGAAAUGCGUAGAGAUCGGGAAGAACACCAGUGGCGAAAGCGCUCUGCUAGGCCUGUACUGACACUCAUGGACGAAAGCUAGGGGAG
rnacentral:rRNA from 1 species